AUGCACUGGAAGGCAUGGGACUCUCUAUCUAAACCAAAAGCGCAGGGAGGAAUGGGGUUCCAGGAUCUUGAGCUGUUCAAUACAGCUCUCCUCGGGAAACACGGUUGGCGUCUGAUGACAAAUCCAGAAUCUCUUUGCGCGCGAGUUCUUAAAGGAAGAUAUUAUCCCACAAGUGAUUUUAUGCAAGCCACAGCUCCUUGCUUCUCCUCUGCAACCUGGCGUGCUAUAAUUGCUGGAAGGGAUGCCCUGCAGAUCGGUCUUCUAAAGCGGGUAGGCGACGGCUCAACGGUCUCUGUUUGGCAUGACAAAUGGAUUCCUGGUACACUAUCAAUGACGUCGGUUUGCAGCAUUGGCAAUGAUCACCUGAAUGUGGUGGCGGAUCUUAUCGACCACAUCAGCUGGUCAUGGAAGGAAGAUGUGGUUCGAGGAAAUUUCAUACCCCCAGAUGCGGAUGCCAUUCUCAACAUUCCGCUGAGGCAAGGAGGGGGUGAUGGUUGGCUUGGGCUUUUGAAAAAUCGGGUUGCUACACUGUGA
rnacentral:rRNA from 1 species